rfam:Cricetulus griseus cell line CHO-K1, whole genome shotgun sequence.
GGAUGGGAGGGUGAUCUGGCUGUAGUGCCACCCCACUGGUCUUCGGGUUAAUGGGGCUGAUCUGGUGGACUUAGCAAUAUCUGUUUCCUCCUUUACUGCUGCAUUUUGGUCUCUCCCAAACCUGAACGUUCUGUUGAAGAUGGUCUUCCCCAAAAUGAAGAAUAGUUAAGAGUAUGUAAGUAGUUGUGCUAGCCUAUAAAUGAAUCAUUUAUAGGAGAACAUGGGAUAGUCAUGUUUCCAAGAUUGCAGGCACAUCAAAGUAAGGCUCUAUGCUGUAGUUUUUGUUU